rnacentral:rRNA from 1 species
GAAACCGAGUCUUAACCGGGCGUUAAGUUGCAGGGUAUAGACCCGAAACCCGGUGAUCUAGCCAUGGGCAGGUUGAAGGUUGGGUAACACUAACUGGAGGACCGAACCGACUAAUGUUGAAAAAUUAGCGGAUGACCUGUGGCUGGGGGUGAAAGGCCAAUCAAACCGGGAGAUAGCUGGUUCUCCCCGAAAGCUAUUUAGGUAGCGCCUCGUGAAUUCAUCUCCGGGGGUAGAGCACUGUUUCGGCUAGGGGGCCAUCCCGGCUUACCAACCCGAUGCAAACUGCGAAUACCGGAGAAUGUUAUCACGGGAGACACACGGCGGGUGCUAACGUCCGUCGUGAAGAGGGAAACAACCCAGACCGCCAGCUAAGGUCCCAAAGUCAUGGUUAAGUGGGAAACGAUGUGGGAAGGCACAGACAGCCAGGAUGUUGGCUUAGAAGCAGCCAUCAUUUAAAGAAAGCGUAAUAGCUCACUGGUCGAGUCGGCCUGCGCGGAAGAUGUAACGGGGCUAAACCAUGCACCGAAGCUGCGGCAGCGACGUUUAUGCGUUGUUGGGUAGGGGAGCGUUCUGUAAGCCUGCGAAGGUGGCCUGUGAGGGUUGCUGGAGGUAUCAGAAGUGCGAAUGCUGACAUAAGUAACGAUAAAGCGGGUGAAAAGCCCGCUCGCCGGAAGACCAAGGGUUCCUGUCCAACGUUAAUCGGGGCAGGGUGAGUCGACCCCUAAGGCGAGGCCGAAAGGCGUAGUCGAUGGGAAACGGGUUAAUAUUCCCGUACUUGGUGUUACUGCGAAGGGGGGACGGAGAAGGCUAUGUUGGCCGGGCGACGGUUGUCCCGGUUUAAGCGUGUAGGCUGGUUUUCCAGGCAAAUCCGGAAAAUCAAGGCUGAGGCGUGACGACGAGGCACUACGGUGCUGAAGCAACAAAUGCCCUGCUUCCAGGAAAAGCCUCUAAGCAUCAGGUAACAUCAAAUCGUACCCCAAACCGACACAGGUGGUCAGGUAGAGAAUACCAAGGCGCUUGAGAGAACUCGGGUGAAGGAACUAGGCAAAAUGGUGCCGUAACUUCGGGAGAAGGCACGCUGACACGUAGGUGAAGUGAUUUACUCACGGAGCUGAAGUCAGUCGAAGAUACCAGCUGGCUGCAACUGUUUAUUAAAAACACAGCACUGUGCAAACACGAAAGUGGACGUAUACGGUGUGACGCCUGCCCGGUGCCGGAAGGUUAAUUGAUGGGGUCAGCGCAAGCGAAGCUCCUGAUCGAAGCCCCGGUAAACGGCGGCCGUAACUAUAACGGUCCUAAGGUAGCGAAAUUCCUUGUCGGGUAAGUUCCGACCUGCACGAAUGGCGUAAUGAUGGCCAGGCUGUCUCCACCCGAGACUCAGUGAAAUUGAACUCGCUGUGAAGAUGCAGUGUACCCGCGGCAAGACGGAAAGACCCCGUGAACCUUUACUAUAGCUUGACACUGAACAUUGAGCCUUGAUGUGUAG